rnacentral:rRNA from 1 species
UGGGGAAUAUUGGACAAUGGGGGGAACCCUGAUCCAGCAAUGCCGCGUGUGUGAAGAAGGCCUGAGGGUUGUAAAGCACUUUCAGUGGGGAGGAGUUGUGAUAGGUUAAGAGCUGAUUACGAGGACGUUACCCACAGAAGAAGCACCGGCUAACUCCGUGCCAGCAGCCGCGGUAAUACGGAGGGUGCGAGCGUUAAUCGGAAUUACUGGGCGUAAAGGGUGCGUAGGUUGUUGAUUAAGUUAUCUGUGAAAUUCCUGGGCUUAACCUGGGCAGGUCAGAUAAUACUGAUUGACUCGAGUAUGGGAGAGGGUAGUGGAAUUUCCGGUGUAGCGGUGAAAUGCGUAGAGAUCGGAAGGAACACCAGUGGCGAAGGCGGCUACCUGGCCUAAUACUGACACUGAGGCACGAAAGCGUGGGGAGCAAACAG